rnacentral:lncRNA from 1 species
CUACCUCAUGUUCCAACACUAGAACUGAAGAGACCUUUGGAUAGGUAGUGUGAACCUGGAGCAUUCAGAAUGGAUCCUUGAAAAUAGCGAACCUGCUUCAGACAGUGUGUGUAACGGCUCACAGUCCUACAUCCACCUCAAGAGACCUGCUUCUAACAACCUUAAACAAAUGCAGACAAAACCACACAUUACAGAGCAGAUAAGGUUCUUAUACCCUGAGGACUCACUGCUCCUGGCUCUCUCAGAGGAGCUUAAGGACUUGGAACUUCACUCAUUGGAAAGAAUUGAGAAGGAUAUUAGAACAGCUCUUGACACCUCCCGCAGAGGGACCAUCCACCAAUCAGAGCUGACCUACCUGUUCCUCAGGUGGAAGGUGCCUCUCAGGUUGCCCACCCUGGCAUCUCUCAUGAAAACCUUCUCUAGCUCCACCCACCCUGAGCAGGUGCUUUAUAAGGAGCUGCUGCAGUUCAUACAGAAAUUGAUUCAAAAUCAGGAGUUACGGGGAGGUAGGCCUGCAGUUUCAUAUGUUACUUUUUCAAGUUACCUCAUACAGCGUUUAUCUCACAUAGCACAAGUACACAAGCACAAGAUACCACACUAGAUAAACUUCAUGUAGUUAGAAACAGUGGUUUCAUGUCUUCCAUGUCAAUCCAUGUCUUUUUUUGGGACUACACAAAAUCCUGAUGUGUCAAAAACACAACAGAUGUUGGCCAGUCCAACCCUACUCUUAAACGUUUUGCCUGAAUAGGGUAUCUGCAGUUAUAGUAAAAUUAAAUAUAGCACCUUUCCAAUUUUUUAAUACC